rnacentral:rRNA from 1 species
CACCUCUUGCAUAUUAAGUAUAAGAGGCCCUGCCUGCCCAGUGACAUUAGUUUAACGGCCGCGGUAUCAUGACCGUGCAAAGGUAGCGUAAUCACCUGUCUUUUAAUUAAAGACCUGUAUGAAUGGCAAAACGAGAGUCUAACUGUCUCUUUAAAUAAAUCAGUGAAACUAAUCUCCCCGUGCAGAAGCGGGAAUGAUACCAUAAGACGAGAAGACCCUAUGGAGCUUUAAAUUUUACUUAACUAUAAUUUUAUAUUAUCCUAAGGGAAAACCUUAUACUUUUAUAUAUUAAUAAAAAUUUUAGGUUGGGGCGACCACGGAAUAAAGAAAAACUUCCGAGAUGAGAUUUAUAGAAGGACACUUCACAAAAUAGAAAAAUCUAACAUAUUGACCCAAUAAUUGAUCAACGAACCAAGUUACCCUAGGGAUAACAGCGCAAUCUUCUCCAAGAGUUCUUAUCGACGAGUAGGUUUACGACCUCGAUGUUGGAUCAGGACACCCAAAUGGUGCAGCAGCUAUUAAAGGUUCGUUUGUUCAACGAUUAAAGUCCU